GAGGGUAUAGCUCAGUGGUGAAGCACACGCUUGGCAUGCAUGAGGUCCUGGGUUAAAUCCCCAGAACCUCCA
rnacentral:tRNA from 1 species